GGAAACCAUGGCUCAGUGGAAAAGUAUCUGCCUUGCAAGUAGAAGGUCCCAGGUUCAAUCCUUGGCAUCUCCA